AUUGAACGCUGGCGGAAUGCUUUACACAUGCAAGUCGAACGGCAGCACGGACUUCGGUCUGGUGGCGAGUGGCGAACGGGUGAGUAAUGUAUCGGAACGUGCCCAGUCGUGGGGGAUAACGUAGUGAAAAUUACGCUAAUACCGCAUACGAUCUAUGGAUGAAAGCGGGGGAUCGCAGGACCUCGCGCGAUUGGAGCGGCCGAUAUCAGAUUAGGUAGUUGGUGGGGUAAAGGCCCACCAAGCCAACGAUCUGUAGCUGGUCUGAGAGGUCGACCAGCCACACUGGAACUGAGACACGGUCCAGACUCCUACGGGAGGCAGCAGUGGGGAAUUGUGGACAAUGGGCGAAAGCCUGAUCCAGCCAUUCCGCGUGCAGGAUGAAGGCCCUCGGGUUGUAAACUGCUUUUGUACAGAACGAAAAGGUUUCUACUAAUACUAGGAGCUCAUGACGGUACUGUAAGAAUAAGCACCGGCUAACUACGUGCCAGCCGCCGCCGUAA
rnacentral:rRNA from 1 species